AGCUCUUCCGUUUACUCUCAGGGAACCACGGGGUGUGCUGGCUGCAGUUGUUUUUGUCUAGUCGAGAGCAAACCUUCAUGUGAGACCUGCAGCAGGGCAAACAUCUGGGGGCGGGCAGUGGUAUCCAAGAGGGAAAGGACCAUUGCUGUGGACUCUGCAGCUACAUCAUUUUAUAUGGUCACCUUUUCUAUAGUAUUAUUAAAUUAUGUAAGGUCUGCAUGUCCUUUAUUUUAUUAAUCAAUAAAGCCGCUUUGUCAUGA